AAAAUCUGCUGUAAAGGAAUGUCUGGACACGGCGAAACAGCAUGAAGCAAAAAGCAUUGCGUUCCCCACCCUGGGUGCAGGUUUCCUGGGGUACCCACUCGAUCGAGUGGCCACGAUUUUGCUGAACUCCAUAUACUCGUGGGUCGACAGACACCGUGGUUAUCGCCUGCAAGAAGUUCAGAUCAUUGUCUUCACCAAUGACACGGCCGGCCUGCAGGUGUUCACGGCGGUACAGGACAGUAUUAAUGACAGCAAGGGACUAACAAGGACAGGAAGUGGUCGCCAGAGUUCGAAGCAGAAGCAAAGUUCGAACCCCCAAGCCCCACAAGCUACGAGUGGCAAUGCAACAGGUUUGUUGAAGCAGAAAUGCGGGCAUUUCCUUUGUGGUUGUAAGAAAUUUCGUAGAACACAUACAAACGGAAUUAAAUGUUUGAGAAAAGCAUGAGCACAAAAUUUAACCGUGUUUGAAUUGGCUCACUUUUUUCUUCACGGAUGUCACAUUCAGGAAGUGUGCAUACAAAGGAAAAGGACGACCGACCUCAGUGAAUAAGAACUGAGAUAUGUUUAGUAAGCAUGUUAGAGGUGGCUUUCAGGAAAGUGUUUAUAGGACCAUUGUUUCAAUACCAUAAAAGUUGCCGUGUCAGAAAGUUCAUGGGACUGGUCUUAUGUGCUAUUGGGUAUAUGCAUGUGUGUGUGUAUGUGUGUGUGUGUACAGUUCUUUCCCAGCCAAGCCACUGGGAGCCAAUGAACGGAGACAACGUCAAGUUGGUCGACUUGGAUCCCUCCUCUACCGAAUAUCAGCAAGUUGUGGGUCUCACUAGAGGAAUGGCUUGAAGAGUAUUCAGCGCGUGCAGAACCCAACCCUGUACCAGCAGUACAGAGCGAAGAAGAGAGAUAUGAAAAUGAACAACUCAUCCAACACAGCCAACGAGCAGCAACUGUGGCACGGCACCAACGCCGCAAACAUCAGCAGCAUCAUCACUAACGGUUUCAACCGUGGCUACUGUGGACAGAACGGCACGAAGUUCGGACACGGAGUGUACUUCGCGACUAACGCGGAUUUCAGCAACAGUUACACACACAGCGGUACUAUAUUCCUGGCUCUGGUGCUGGUAGGGGAAUCUACCCCGGGUAACUCGCAGAUGAGAGUCCCACCUAAGAAGCCAGGCUCGGACAGGUUGUACGACUCAGUGACCGGACCAGACAUGGUGGUCGUCUUCCAUGACGCCCAGGCCUACCCACAAUACCUGCUGACCCUGAAAACCCCGAGAUCUUAGACUAAUCACAUGGUCCAAAUGGCAGCAGCAGGGCCCUACAGCCUGCCAUCCAACCUUAGCAGUGGUAAUCCUGGGAACUGUGGGCAUUGUGGAUAUUCUGGUAAUUCUGUGUGUAUUGUGGGCAUUCUGGGAAUUCUAACAGUGGGAGCUUUGACAGUGGCGAUUCUGAUUAUGGAGAUAAUGAUGGUUGUGAUUUUGAUGACGGAAAUUUCCACUGAAGAAGUCUUGAGGGACAUGGUGAUUUUGAUGCAUAUCACGAUGAAUCUGUUGACAAUGAACAUUCAAGUGCAAAAUAUUUGGUUCUUUAGUUUUGUUCGACGCCUGUCCUUUACAAUCACAUUCCCUGUGACGAAAACAUACAUAUGAACAUCAUGUGACUGUAGUCUCUGCAUUUAAUUGCUGCACCACAAAGAGCACACAGAUCUUUCGCAUGUUUCAGACCAAACAACCGUGACUGGCUUUAGUAUAGAAACACUUUGUAUUAUCAAAACUGGACAUUAAGAACUUGUAUGAUGCAACAUUGUUUUCUGAAUCUGCCUAACAUGUAGUGCAAUGAUUUCUGUAAUUAUAGUGUACUCUGUAAUUUAUAUGCUAAUACAGUUUACAACCUGGAACUUCAGGUAGGUAUAUAGAGCAGAAUAUCAAAUAUAGCAUGUUAUUACUGAUUUUACAGUAAAUACUAAGUUGUGUGUUUAAACUAACCCUUGGAUCUGAAGUUUGUCAAAUAUCUGCCUUAGAAAUUCUUCAAACAGUUACUGUUACUUUGCUGGUGGAUUAAAGUUUUUUCUCUAAAGA